GCUUACGGCCACACCGCCUGGUUCACGCCGGAUCUCGUUUGAUCUCGGAAGCUAAGGUAGGUUGGGCCUGGUUAGUACUUGGAUGGGGAGACCGCCUGGGAAUACCAGGUGCUGUAAGCU
rnacentral:rRNA from 1 species